AUGGUGACCUUCACGGCGCGCCGGGGCGAGCCGGAGCUGGUGCGCCCGGCGAGGCCGACGCCGACCGAGACCAAGGCGCUCUCCGACCUCGACGACCAGUGGACGCUGCGGUUCUACGAGUCCAUCGUCGGCUUCUUCCGUGCCCCGCCGGGCGAGGCGCCCAGGCUGGGCAAGGUGGCCAGGGGCAUCAAGGCGGCCGUGGCGGCGGCGCUGGUGUACUACUACCCUAUGGCCGGCCGCCUGCGGAAGCUCCCCGGCGGGAAUAGGCUGGCGGUGGACUGCACCGGGGAAGGAGUGGCCUUCGUGGAGGCCUCCGCGGACGUGCGGCUCGAGGACCUCGGCCAGCCGCUGGUGCCGCCGUACCCGUGCGUCGAGGAGUUCCUCGGAGACUGCGGUGACACCAGGGAUGUACUUGGCAAGCCUUUGCUCUUCCUGCAGGUGACACAACUAAAAUGUGGAGGAUUUGUUAUUGGGCUUCACAUGUGUCAUUGCAUUGCUGAUGGUUUUGGUAUUCUUCAAUUUAUCAAAACUAUAGCCGAUUUUGGAUGCGGUGAACUUAUCCCAACCACUUUGCCCGUGUGGAAAAGAGAUAUCUUCACAGCACGCAUGCCACCAUCCAUUGCACAUGUUUACCCGGCAUAUAAACCAUUUCUUCAUGGGUUAGAGUGCACGGGAGAUGACGUGAUGCUAUCAACUCCGCCAAAAUGCAUGGAAGUGCAAUAUUUAUUCUUUGGGCCAAAUGAGAUAGAUAUUUUGAGAAGCCAUGUCCCAGAACACCUCUCUAAAUCUACUACAACAUUUGAGUUGAUUACGGUUGUCAUGUGGCGGUGCCGCACAUUGGCACUGGGCUAUGAAUCUACUCAAAAAGUUCGUGUCAUGUUUACACUAAAUACACGUGGGAGAAGCAUUAAUGGUGAAAGCGCUGUCCCACGUGGUUACUAUGGAAAUGCACAUUUCUCUCCUAUGGUCGAGGUCACCGUCGAGGAGUUGGCUACAAAGCCGCUCGGACAUAUACUUGAGCUCAUGCGCAAAGUCAAGUUGGACACCACAAAGGAUCGCAUGAAGUCAAUGGUGGAUUUGAUGGCAUUAUGGCGAGAGCGGUCACCUUUCGGUAUGGAUAGAACAUAUGAGGUCAGUGACACAAAGUGGGUUGGAGGCAAUGCACUGCAAUUUGGGAAAGCUGAGCUGGUUGCUGCUGGCACACCGCAUGCUGGAGAUUUCACUUCAAAACUGAUAAGCUAUCAUACCAAGUGUAAGAAUAAAGAUGGUGAAGACUCAACCGUGGUAUCAAUCCUACUGCCAAAACCAGCAAUGGAUAAGUUCACAAAGGAGAUGGCAUUUUGGCUGAAGAAGUAA
rnacentral:rRNA from 1 species